rnacentral:RNase_P_RNA from 1 species
UCGGUCGGCCGGACGGUCGCCGCCCGCCCAGCGGUCAGAGAUUCGAGGGCGGAGAAACGGUGGCGCGCGUCGCUCACCGGUCUCCGGUUUCUGAUCUCUGCCCUCUGGGCGGGGGGAGGAAAGUCCGGGCUUCACAGGGCGCGGUGGUGGAUAACGUCCACCCUCGGUAACGGUGCGGGCGUCCCGACUCGCGCCGCCAACGGGCGGGAAAGUGCAACAGAAAGUGUACCGCCACCCGGUUGCGAAAUCGGGCGGUAAGGGUGAAAAGGUGCGGGGUUUCGGCCCUUAAUGUAAGAGCGCACCAGCGGCGGGGUGACCCGCCGGCUCGGCAAACCCCACCGGAAGCAAGGUCAAGCAGAGGACAGGGGCGGCCCGCCCCGUUACGAUCCUCGGGUAGACCGCUCGACCCCGCCGGCAACGGCGGGGCUAGAUAAAUGACCGUCGCCUGCCGCAAGGCGGGGACAAAACCCGGCUUACAGGCCGGCCGACGAA